AUGCACAUUUUCUUUCCACAUCCAGACACCAGAGGGCAGGUUGUGGUGACUCAGUCUCCAGAGACUCUCUCAGUCCUCCCAGGAGAAACUGUUACUAUCAAAUGCCAGUCUGAUACAGACAUUGAUGAUGACAUGAACUGGUACCAGCAGAAAUCCGGAGCUGCUCCUAAGCUCCUUCUCUCUGAAGGUUCUAGUCGCCAAACGGGAGUCCCAGCCCGGUUCAGCAGCAGUGGCUAUGGGACAGAUUUCACUUUCACCAUCAGCAGUGUCGAAAAUGAUGAUGCUGGAGAUUAUUACUGUCAGCAAAGUGAUCGUACCCCACUCACAGUGAUUCAGACCAAUACAAAAACCUCUCCCGGCUGCACAGUAUGUUCUGCCCGGGCCAUCUGUUCUACAGCAGUUACAUAG